GGAGAGCUGGCCGAGUGGCUGAAGGCGCACGCCUGCUAAGCGUGUAUAGGGCUUAACCCUAUCUGGGGUUCAAAUCCCCAGCUCUCCG
rnacentral:tRNA from 1 species